GUUGUGAUUCGAAUGCCAUCGCUCAUUUACAGUGGAUUUACCGAAGGUGCGCGCUAACAGUCUGACCUCAGCUACAUACAGUGUAGUUUUCCUCAUUGGGCCUAAAAAAACCUUGUGGUUCCGGUUUCAUAUCGCGAAAAAAAUAGGGUAGGUAGGUGGGGAAAAAUGGUUUUGGCGGGUUUUUGCUGGGCGAUUUUCAGUAGAGUCCCGACAACAAUAUUAACUAGAGAUACGUAGUUCCUACGGACGAAUUUAGGCAAUUUGGUUCAAUAAUUAUUGUGACAACAGACGCCGUUUUGGCACGCUGUACGAGCAGCCCGCAACCACCCGGAGAAAAUAGGCCUAGGUCGCACGGACAAUCGUGUUAAAAAAAAUAAUAGGGUCGGCAGAAAAAAUAGGGUCGGUCGGGAACCGGAACCACAGGUAUAUUUUUGUAGGCCUUGGUAUAUCAUUGACAAUUAAGCCCAGGUCACACCACACAACGAUAACUUGUAAACACGCGAUGAUUGGUAAAAAAAUUAUGUUAGUGUUCACACUACAACGAAAACGAUCCCAAAAUAUGUCGGAUGCGUGGAAUUUACAUGCAUGUACAGCUAAAGUUCUUCACGGUUUUGAAUACUUUGGCAGGUUUGCUAGUUAUUGCUAGAAGGAAAAUGUAAGUACGCGAAUAGUAAAUUUCCGCGUACCUACGUGGUACUUGGCUAAAAACAAAGAAGUACCAGACCAUAAAUUUGGCGUACCUCCGGUACGUUGGUACGCGAAUUAUCGCACCCUGGUUUUCGAAACUUGUAAAGUGAAAAGUGUUCAGUAUUAAAACUUUAUUUCGAACGAUAUAGUUUUACAUUUCAUUUUACAAAAUUUCUCAGCCAUUUCCUGAACAAAUUAAUGCUAAAAGUCGCUCUGUCAUUGUGUUUAUAUUCUAAGCAGAAAUCGAGAAAAACAACUUUGUAAUUAAGCAAUAAAGUCACACAAGAAGCAUUUUGAAAGCGUGUGCGUAUACAAGAAACACUGCAUGUGAAACUGGCCGUGAAACCGUGACCUGGCCGCGAAAACAGUUUUAUUUCUGAAUUUUAAUUAAACUGAUAUUUGAAUUUAUUAAUGAAAAAUUUAUGCUAAAACAAUUAUUCUCAGUGAUAACGUUGAAUAUUCGCCGGUAAUCACUU